rnacentral:rRNA from 1 species
UACGUAAGGGGCGAGCGUUGUUCGGAUUUAUUGGGCGUAAAGGGCGCGCAGGCGGUUUUGCAAGUCUGGUGUGAAAUCCACAGGCUCAACCUGUGAUAUGCGCUGGAAACUGCAAGGCUUGAGUUCUGGAGGGGGAGCUGGAAUUCCAGGUGUAGGGGUGAAAUCUGUAGAUAUCUGGAAGAACACCGGUGGCGAAGGCGAGCUCCUGGCCAGUGACUGACGCUGAGGCGCGAAAGCGUGGGGAGCGAACAGG